AUUGAACGCUGGCGGCAUGCUUUACACAUGCAAGUCGAACGGCAGCGCGGGCUUCGGCCUGGCGGCGAGUGGCGAACGGGUGAGUAAUGCAUCGGAACGUGCCCAGUAGUGGGGGCUAGCCCGGCGAAAGCCGGAUUAAUACCGCAUACGACCUGAGGGUGAAAGCGGGGGACCGAAAGGCCUCGCGCUAUUGGAGCGGCCGAUGUCGGAUUAGCUAGUUGGUGGGGUAAAGGCUUACCAAGGCGACGAUCCGUAGCUGGUCUGAGAGGACGACCAGCCACACUGGAACUGAGACACGGCCCAGACUCCUACGGGAGGCAGCAGUGGGGAAUUUUGGACAAUGGGGGCAACCCUGAUCCAGCCAUGCCGCGUGCGGGAAGAAGGCCUUCGGGUUGUAAACCGCUUUUGUUCGGGAAGAAAUCCUCUGGGCUAAUACCCCGGGGGGAUGACGGUACCGGAAGAAUAAGCACCGGCUAACUACGUG
rnacentral:rRNA from 1 species